CAGCCCAGGUCCAGGACCAUGGGCUGUGAUCUUCUCUGCCCUUGCCCUGGAUGUGGGGUCCUCUCGAAUGUUUUCUCCUGAAGAAGAGGGGCGGCAUCACCCUCAGCCUGGAGGUGCGCCUGGAGGUCAUGCCUGUGGCCCAGAGUUGGAAGCAACCCAAGUCUCUGCGGACAGAUGAAUGAAGAAGCAAAAUGUGGUGUCUUGCAUCCAGGGGGACGUUCUGACACGUGUAGCAACAUGGCUGCACCUUGAGGACUUCAUUCCCCAGCUGCUGCAGCCCUCCUGCCUUGGGAAUAUAGUGAAGCUAAGGAAGCUGUGGAGUUCACUGGGCCUGGUUCUCAGCACAGCACCUGACCUUACAGAUCAUGUGCGUCACUAUGUUGAAUCAUCACAACUCUGUGAAGUAUCCUCAUGCUCUCGGUUUUCUACAUGAAGAAAGGGCUCAGAGAGGCGAUGUUACUUGUCCCAAGCUACACAGCUGAUGAGUAAAUGGAUCCAGGACUGAACCCAGGUCCACUCCCAAGCCUCUCCAAAAGUGUCACUAUCUAAAAAUCUGGACACAGAGGACAGACAGGAAUGAGUGGAAGGAUGUGGGAGUGUCUCCAUUCUUGAGUCUUCAGACAGUACCUUCCAACAGGUAUUAGGAAGGUACAGCACAGAUGCCCAGACUGGCAAUGGAGACAGGGGUUGGGGGGUGGGCAGGUCUGGACACCUGAGGACUCUGGGGGAAUCUCUGGAAGAAUUGGGGUUCAUGCCUAAAGCAGGUUGCUGAGGCAUCCCAUCAUGAGUCAUUCCCCAGAUCUAAGCCCUUUCUCUGAAAUGCUCACUCCAUGGGCCCAGCCCAAGGCCUAGCUGGUUUUUAGAUAGCGGGGCAGCACCUGCCUCAUACUCCAGGAAGGAAAACUGAGGCCAUGCAAGACCCAAAGGAAGUGCCCCAAAGCAAGUGAAUUGAAAGCCAGUCGGAAAAGGAGAAAGCAACCCUGGGGGAGGAAGGAGGCCGGCCUGCAGAGCCUGCAGGAGCUGAGCCACCAGGGGGCGCCCUCCUCCAGCUCCGGGUGGUGCAGCAUAGGUCCUGGAACCACUGGUAGAACGGUGGGUGUGUGUGGUGUUGGGGUCACUCACACCCCUGGAAGGAGAAGCUGGGGAUAGAGCUGGUGAGGGAGACUCUCUACAUUGUCUGGAUUUUCUACCAAGAUGUGUUUCUAAUGUAAUUACACAAAUAAGCUUAAAAGCACAGAAGAGGUAGGUGGCGCAUACCUAUGAUCCCAGCUAUGGGGGAGGCUGAGGCAGUCCCAUCACAAGUUCAAGGUCAGUCCAGGCAACCUAAAGAGACCCUGUCUCAAAAUCAAACCUUCGAAAGUCCUGGUGAUGUAACUCGGUUUCAGAGCAUUUGCCUAGCAUGAGCGAGGCCCUAGGUCCCAUCCCCAGCACCAAAAUAUAAACAGAAACAAAACGAAAGAAGUUAUUUCCCGGAUUUGGGGGCCUUUCUGGCCCUGGGGCCUGAAAGUCUGUCUGUUUCCAAACACUGGCCUUGAGGGGACUCCACCUGACCUGGAGAGCUUCCAGGGGGAGUCCUUUUAAUGGACGCCAGCUGCGAAUUCCAGGCACCCUGAUAGGAGAGUCCUACAUGGACCUGCCACGGGCAUCCCUGGGUGUGGCACUCAGGUCCAGGCCCUCCUCAUGUGUGGUGCCAGAGUGCCUCUGCCUCCUGGGCUACAGAUACCCCUGUGUCUUGGGCUCAGACACCCUGGAGAUCCCCCCACUGAGGACUCAGUCCCUUAACUGAGCCACCUGACUUUGGUUCGCGGACACUCACAUCACCAUACCAAGAUUUCUUUUGGCCUCUGUCCAGGUCCCAGGCACCCCAUGCCUUUCUCCUCUCCCAUGUAUCUGUUCCAGAAAGGAUGCUGGGCCUUGGGGUGGACCGUCAGACGGAAAGAUCUUUUGGCCCAGGUCUCUGCCCUAAUUGGGACUCUUGGCCUCCUUUGAGCAAGUGGUGCCCGUGACCUGCAGGUCUCAGCUAGGGGUUUUUUGCCCUCCCAGAGAAAUUUAGCAACUCUGAAGAGACUCUGGUUGUCAUGAUUGGCAGCACAGCUGGCAAGGAGCGGGAAUGGGUUAAGGAUGCUGCUAAGCCUCUCUUGGUGCCUAGGUCAGCCCCCAAACAGAACUGUCCAGCCCAAAGUGUCAAAAGUACCCCAGGUGAGAAACUGCUAGGCACGCACAGCAGAGAGCAGGCUGCACCCGGAGGAAUUUGAGGUAAAGAAAGUGAUGAGAACUGAGGAGGGGGGUGGGGGUGAAUUUGAAGAGGGGAAACCACUGGCCUUGGGUCCAUAGACCUGGGCCCCCCUGGCCAGGUGGGAGCCUUGUGCAGGUCACUUAGCUCCCUAAACGUCAGUGUCCUCAUUUGGUGAAGUCCAAAUGUGAAUGUGUAAGAAGCAAACUUGGACCUUGGCACACGGAAGAGGCUCCUUAACGGAGAUGGGGGCGCGGGGAUGCAGGGAUGAGCACCUCCCAGGAGCUACCUUGAUCUUGGAAUUCCAAGAAAGGCCCAGAAGCCAUUUCUUCUUUCUGUCUCUCCAGCCCUCAGAGGUGCCCAGGUGCCCGCCCAGACAAGGAAGGGGCACCGGCCUGCACUCACCGCUGUGGCUUUCUCCAUCACUGGUGAUGUACGGGUAAUAUUCAUGCGUCUGGCGUUGGUAUAGAUCCGUGUCAUAGGAAACCAGGUCUUCUGACGGCUGCCGAGAGAGAGGAGGGUGUCAAGGCCUGGGCUAGGGGGAGCCCCCAGCCAGGUUUGCACCCCCAGUGUGUCAGGUCCACACACCUUCCCUGAACAAGCUCUUCCUCUGCUUGAAAUCCAAAAGGUCAAGGCCACAGGGAAAGGGGCAGGGGCCCCGGGAGAGCUAAAGGCAGUGACAGGGACCUUGGAGGAAAGAGAUCCCAAGAGGAUGAGAGGGGAGGGUGCAGCCCCCACCCCUGCUUGGCUGGCCCCCACGACACGUUAUGGCUUGGGUCUGGAAUGUCCCCCAAAGCUUCACAUAGGAGGCUUGGUCCCCAGUUCAGAGGUGGGGCUUUGGGAAGUGACCAGUUCACGAGAGCUUUGACCUCACAGUGGAUUACUCCACUGAUGGAUUCAUAGCUGACUGGACUCUGAGGAGGGGGCAGAAACUGUAGGAGGUGGGGCCUAUUGAAGGGAGUGAGUCCUUGGGGGCAUGCCCUUGGGGACUCUAUCUUGCCCCCAGCCCCUUCCUCCAAGCUCUCUCUGCUUCCCAGCUGCCAGGAGUGAGCAGCUUUGCCCUACCACACCCUCCUCCCAGGAUGCUCUGCCUCACCACAGGCCCAGAACAAUGGAGUCCGCCCACCCUAGACUGAAACUGUGAGCCAAAA